rnacentral:misc_RNA from 1 species
UUUCCGUAGGUGAACCUGCGGAAGGAUCAUUAUCAAAAGUCAAGUCGGGGGCUGUAAAGCUCUCGUCUACACCCAUGUCUUUUGCGUACUCUUGUUUCCUCGGUGGCGCAAGCCGCCGGAGGUUACAAACCCUGAAUUUUAGUGUAUCUCUGAGUACAAAAACGAAAUAAUUAAAACUUUCAACAACGGAUCUCUUGGUUCUG